rnacentral:rRNA from 1 species
CUCGUAGUCAUAUGCUUGUCUCAAAGAUUAAGCCAUGCAUGUCUAAGUACACGCCCCAGCAAGGCGAAACCGCGAAUGGCUCAUUAAAUCAGUUAUGGUUCCUUAGAUCGUACACGUUUACUUGGAUAACUGUGGUAAUUCUAGAGCUAAUACAUGCAUCUGGGCCCUCGACCCUUCCCCAAGGGGAGAGGGUGCUUUUAUUAGACCAAGACCAGACGGGCUUGUCCCGAACGUCGUGGUGACUCUGGAUAACUCUAGCGGAUCGCACGGUCCUCGUACCGGCGACGUAUCUUUCAAGUGUCUGCCUUAUCAACUGUCGAUGGUAGGUUAUGUGCCUACCAUGGUUGUAACGGGUAACGGGGAAUCAGGGUUCGAUUCCGGAGAGGGAGCCUGAGAAACGGCUACCACAUCCAAGGAAGGCAGCAGGCGCGCAAAUUACCCACUCCCGGCACGGGGAGGUAGUGACGAAAAAUAACAAUACGGGACUCUAAAGAGGCCCCGUAAUUGGAAUGAGUACACUCUAAACCCUUUAACGAGGAUCUAUUGGAGGGCAAGUCUGGUGCCAGCAGCCGCGGUAAUUCCAGCUCCAAUAGCGUAUAUUAAAGUUGUUGCGGUUAAAAAGCUCGUAGUUGGAUCUCAGUCGUGCCUACGCCGAUGCGUCGAAAGGCGUUCUAUUGGCGUGGCCGGCAAACGGUCGGUCGCCUCGGUUGGCCUUAAAAAGCUGAUCGGGUUGCCCGGCACCUUUACUUUGAAAAAAUUAGAGUGCUCAAAGCAGGCCGGUGCCUGAAUACUGGUGCAUGGAAUAAUGGAAUAGGACCUCGGUUCUAUUUUGUUGGUUUUUGGAACGCGAGGUAAUGAUUAAGAGGGACGGACGGGGGCAUUCGUAUUGCGGCGCUAGAGGUGAAAUUCUUGGACCGCUGCAAGACGAACUACUGCGAAAGCAUUUGCCAAGAAUGUUUUCAUUAAUCAAGAACGAAAGUUAGAGGUUCGAAGGCGAUCAGAUACCGCCCUAGUUCUAACCAUAAACGAUGCCAACCAGCGAUCCGCCCGAGUUCUUCAAACGACUCGGCGGGCAGCUUACGGGAAACCAAAGUUUUUGGGUUCCGGGGGAAGUAUGGUUGCAAAGCUGAAACUUAAAGGAAUUGACGGAAGGGCACCACCAGGAGUGGAGCCUGCGGCUUAAUUUGACUCAACACGGGAAAACUCACCCGGCCCGGACACCGGAAGGAUUGACAGAUUAAUAGCUCUUUCUUGAUUCGGUGGGUGGUGGUGCAUGGCCGUUCUUAGUUGGUGGAGUGAUUUGUCUGGUAUAAUUCCGAUAACGAACGAGACUCUAGCCUACUAAAUAGACCCACGAUCCGUGGUAUCGUGAGCAGGUCUUCUUAGAGGGACAGGCGGCUUUUAGCCGCACGAAACGGAGCAAUAACAGGUCUGUGAUGCCCUUAGAUGUCCGGGGCCGCACGCGCGCUACACUGAAGGAAUCAACGUGUGUCUACCCUGGUCCGAGAGGACCGGGUAACCCGGUGAACCUUCUUCGUGCUAGGGAUAAUGGAUUGUAAUUAUUCCAUUUGAACGAGGAAUUCCCAGUAAACGCACGUCAUCAGCGUGCGUUGAUUACGUCCCUGCCCUUUGUACACACCGCCCGUCGCUACUACCGAUUGAAUGAUUUAGUGAAACCUUCGGACUGGUGCAACUAGGGCCUUCCGGUUCUGUUUGCGCUGGAAAGAUGGUUGAACUUGAUCAUUUAGAGGAAGUAAAAGUCGUAACAAGGUUGCCGUAGGUGAAUGGGGACAGGCAACCUUGUUUCCAACUUUUACUUCCCCUUAAUUAAUCAAGUUCAACCAUCUUUCCCGCGCAAACAGAAACCGAAGGGCCCUAGUUCCACCACUUCCCAAAGUUUCACUAAAUCAUUCAUUCGUUAGUAGCGACCGGCGGUGGGAACAAAGGGCAGGAACGAACUCCCGCAAGCUAAUGACGUGCGUUUACGGGGGAAUU